AUUGAACGCUGGCGGCAUGCUUUACACAUGCAAGUCGGACGAGUGGCGAACGGGUGAGUAAUAUAUUGGAACGUACCCAGUAAUGGGGGAUAACCAAUCGAAAGAUAGGCUAAUACCGCAUAGUAUUCGUGCGGCCAAUAUCUGAUUAGCUAGUUGGGGGGGUAAAGGCCUACAAAGGCGACGAUCAGUAGCGAGUCUGAGAGGAUGAUCCGCAACACUGUGACUGGGACCCGGCCCAGACUCCUACGGGAGGCAGCAGUGGGGAAUUUUGGACAAUGGGGGCAAGCCUGCUGCGGCCAUGCGGCGUGUCGGAAAAAGGCCUUCGGGUUGUAAAGGACUUUUGUUAGGGAAGCGGUACCUAAAGAAUAAGCACCGGCUAACUACGUGCCAGCAGCCGCGGUAAUAC
rnacentral:rRNA from 1 species